rnacentral:lncRNA from 1 species
GAAUCUGCAGGGAGACAGGGGGCGUGUGCCAUCAGAUCUGUCUCCCCAAUUCACGAUUUGGGGCAAAAUCUAAGAGGUUAGGGAGAAGAGGCUGGCACACAGAAACACUGGCAGGACAGGUUUUGAGUGGUAGGCUUCAGGCAUUUGUGGUAAGGUUCUAAACAUUUAUGAUGAGGUUCUAAACAUUUAUGAUGAGGUUCUAAACAUUUAUGGUAAGGUGGGUAAGGAAUUCUAACACCAGAUCUUCCAGAAUGAUGGACCUCUCACUUCUGAUACUAUUGAAAUGAGAAUCUAAUCUGAGGGAUGGAUAUUUAUUGAAAGGGCUUCUGGAAGCAAAGAAUAAGCUCUUAAGAGAAACUCUCCCGGUGGAAGCCUGUUCCGAAGGUUCCAGACGGCAGCAAGUUCCCACCUGGAGAGGGGGAAGCAGCCCCAGAAACUCAGGCAUCAGGUGAUCUCGUCCAGAAUUCCAGCUCCUAGGAAGAGAGACAGUGAGAACCACGCAGAAGCCAUGUCCUCUGGUGAUGAAGCCCUGGGCUUCUCCUGAGGUUCUGGACACCCCUACUCUGCCCACGGGAUUGGUAGCCAAGCGCAGCUGGGACCAAGAUGGGAAACUGGGGGCCAGCUAGGGGCCCCAUUGUGCAACCUAAAUGUAUACAAUUUUUAUUUGUCAAUCAUACAUCAACAAAGCUGGGGGGGAAAUAAGUAACCAGAGAAAAGAGAACAUUGAAAAUAAAGGGAACCAGCCCUGAUGGCCUAGAGGUUAAAGUUCGGAGUUCUCACUGCUUCAGCGGCCUGGGUUCCUUUCCGGGUUGCAGAACCACAACACCUGUCUAUCAGUUGCCACACUGUGGUGGCAACUCAUAUAGAAGAACUAGAAGGACU